UCAGAUGAGAUGAAGGCUGGAGAGAUGAGAUGACUACAACAUAUGCAUACAAACUGACCAGCAUAGAGAUUUGCAUAUAUUUUGACAUUGAUCUUUUGACAUGCUUUAUGCAGUUCGUGGCUGCUCUAAGAGGUCUCCACUCUCCAAUGCUGGGCGCAGUGGAAAGCGAGCGAACAACUAUAUUGGGAGGAGGAACUAUAUACACAACAUUUAUUCUAUCCUAUUUACUCAACAUUUAUUAUACUUCCCAAAGCUUCUAGAGUUUGGCAAGUGCUAAUUUGCUGUUGCUGACUUGCAUUGGAUGCUGGUUAUAGAGGGGAGGUGCUGAUCACCAUGGUGAUGAGAAGAAGAUUACUGUAUUCCAGGAAUUGAUUUAAAGUGCCUAAAGAAGCAUCAAAUCACAUAGUAGUCUUGGGGUUUGAGAAAUACAAAAGAAAUAUCAAUUUCUUGUGGUUACUUUUUCUUUUGGAAAAAUGCAAUAGUGCUUCAUCACUGUUUGUUGAAUAAUUGAUAAUUGAUACUUAAGGUUUGCGUAUAUUCUAGAAUAUUUGAACAUCCAUUGCAUUCCUGACCAA